CCUGACCGUUGCUGCUACCCUGACGUGGUGACCGGGCUUACCUAUCGUAAUGAACCAAUUGAGCUAUACUGGCUGUAGCAAUCGUUCUUCAAGGUACUACCAUGCCGGACAGGUCGGUUGAAGAGCGGUAAGACUAAAAGCAGC
rnacentral:ribozyme from 1 species